AUUUUUAUAGUGUAUAAAACACUUAACAUUUUCAUUGUUAAAAAGCCUCCGCUAAAAAUA
rnacentral:tRNA from 1 species